rnacentral:lncRNA from 1 species
GAAAUACUUAAGUUUAGUUUGACUUAGUUUGACUGUACGGGGGACCACGGCGGCGCAAGUUGUAAAUUUAGGGUUUUCCAAAAAUCCUGGCGGCCAGGCCGCUGGCUACUGAAAAAAACAAGCGGGAAAAAGUAUCCAGCGGCCAAGCCGCCAGCAAUUUUUCUCCCGACCGUUGAGGGUUUUAGUAUGCCGGCGGCCAGGCCGCCGGAUCACUUCUUCCCGACCGUUGGUGAAUUGGAGCUGGCGGCCAGGCCGCUGGCAUUUUUUACAAAAAAAUAUUCCGUCGGCCUGGCCGCCAGAAAAUUUCUCUCAUUUACGAGGGAAAAUUAUGCAGGCGGACAAGUGUAACCUUCCGUCGGCCUGGCCGCCGGUCGUAUCUACCGGCGGCCAGGCCGCCGGGAGAUGGGCGCCAGAACUGCGCUGGUUUUUUGUAGUGUUUGAUUUAGGAAAUUUAUAAAAGUAAAAGACUUGCUAGCAUGCGAGAACACGGUCUUGAAAUUCCUAUGUCUCAAAGUACAGAGGGAUCUACAACAGAGUCACAACCGAUGUACGUUGG